GGUAUAUAUAUGGAUGAAGCCACAGGGUCAAUAUCAUUUAGGAAAAUGGCUGGUGUUGUCAGGGACAUGUAUGCAGGAGAAAAUCUGACUGAACUGACGAUAAGACAGAGAGAAACACACAGAAGAAAUAUGUUAAGAGAGAAUGUUAAUGUUCUCUUCAGAAUAUAUAGAACAGUCAGGACCGUACGGAACUUGCAUGUACUGUUAUGCAGACCGAGCCACGAACCUGAAACGAUGACUACAAUUCUCCGGACGCACAUCAAUGACACUAAGUUACAGGUGUCUCUACAGCUGACAUCCAGAAUGGAAACAAGAAUUACGAGAGUGGAGACAAUAUCAAUUAGUGGGAAUACAGAUCAGUUGGAAACCUUAUGUAACUCUUUCGCUGACCUGUUCCCACAUGCUUUCGGAGUUGAGGAAUAGGAGGCUGAAAAUCAAGACAUCAAAGAAGAAGAAUAAGAAGAAGAUGAUGUCAUAACACAACACGGAUUCUCCUCUCAUCUGAUUUGAAAAAUAAUUCUACUCACUUUUUCUGUGUCAAAGCCAUCUGCCUGUCUUAGAAAAACAAUCCACUGUUUGCACCACUGUUUCUAAUGAGCAUGUCAUAAUAAAUCAUAUUUGAUUGAGA